GACGAACGCUGGCGGCGUGCUUAACACAUGCAAGUCGAGCGGUAAGGCCCUUUCGGGGGUACACGAGCGGCGAACGGGUGAGUAACACGUGGGUGACCUGCCCUUAGCUCUGGGAUAAGCCUGGGAAACUGGGUCUAAUACCGGAUAUGACUCCAUGACGCAUGUUGUGGGGUGGAAAGCCUUGUGCGGCUAGGGAUGGGCCCGCGGCCUAUCAGCUUGUUGGUGGGGUGAUGGCCUACCAAGGCGACGACGGGUAGCCGGCCUGAGAGGGCGACCGGCCACACUGGGACUGAGACACGGCCCAGACUCCUACGGGAGGCAGCAGUGGGGAAUCUUGCGCAAUGGGCGGAAAGCCUGACGCAGCGACGCCGCGUGAGGGA
rnacentral:rRNA from 1 species